UCCACAUACACAGAAAUGCCUCUGCUGUCCUCCCCAACCACUCAGUUAUUUACUAGUUCAUUAAUUGCGAUGCUUAUUAUUCCCAGUGAAAGAAUAUGAGUUACUGUUGAAGGAUCCCUGUGUCAACAAACCUUAUGCAAGAGGAGAGGAUAAGUGUAGCGAUUCCCCUUGAAUCUCCAGUUAUUUUUAAGGCACAGUUCUAAGAAAGUAUCAGCAAGGCAACAUUAGCAAUGACAAAUCUAUACUGGUGGUAUAGCUCCCUCCUAGGCUGAUUUCAGGACUGGAGAAGGCAUGGAGACAGCUGAAGUCGUGCUGGUGAAAGGUUUCCACUUGGCCUCAAGAAGCUGUGAAAGGCAGUCAUUUUUUUAUACAGUUCAGCUAUAAGAUGAUAUUAUAAUGUGGAUAAGGAAACAUCAUGGAGCUAUGAUUGCCAUCACAGAGCUAAAUAAAUACCCACCAGCACCACUGGAAAAACAACAGCAGUUAAUGAAUUAAAAAAUAAACUCCUUCAGUUAUCAUGAGAGAGGAAAAGAUAGGCAUCUGGAAAGCAGCAGUGCUGAAGCCUCUAUCUGCAGAAAAGAGAGAUACCUAAAGGUGCUUGCAUGUCAGUCCUCUACAACUGGGUUCCUGGAGGGGAUUGAUGUCCACAGCUCAGGAAAAACUUGAGCAGCAGCAAAGACAGAUAACAGAUUCAAAACAUGCAUCAGGACAAGCAGUGGUAUCAAGAAACACAGAGAGAACAGUAAUUAACCAGUGUGUCUCCCUUACUCUAGAAGUCCAAAGAACCACCUGAUAUCUUUGGAUGAUUCAUAUGACCAAAGUUUCAAGCCUAACAUACAGAUGCAAGUCAAAGACAUUAUUUUAAAAUCUUGGGUAAAACUGUUAAAGCCCAGUGUGUCCAUCUCAGUGGUGGAUCCUGAACCCUUUCUUUAGAUAAGAAAUAGAUAAAGUCAUUGUACUUAAUUUCCUCCAGAGUGACUUGGUGACUGGGCAUUUACCAUGUUAAUUAGUAGCAGCUAUGGAGCUCUUCAGAUUUGUCUCUGCCCCCUGUCCAAAUCCUUCUUCCCUUAGUUUUGCUCACUGAAUCUACAUUCAGGCAUUAAUUUCUGUGUAUCAUACCAGUGAAGAUCAGUUUUACAGGAUGACAAUGACAGGCAGCCACUGAAGCCUUAAAACACAAGUGCUGUAUCAAAGAAAACCUUAGCCAAACUGACAAGAGCUAUUUUAAAAUAAUAAACUUUUCCUUACUGCUGGACAGUUUUGAAAUAAAAUUUGCAGAUGUGAACUCUGCCAAGCUCAGUGGUAGGGAAAGAUGCAGUGGGAAUACAGUUUUAAAUCUGUCAUUUAACCAUAAGACUGGAGACCUAAGCCAGGAUUGUUCCCACUUAGUCUUUAUGUUUGACUCAGCUAAAGACCUAAGUGAAGAGCUUUGUCACCCUGCACUCCUUGGCACACAACUAGAGAUAGACAGGCCUUCAGACAGUAGCAUCAACUUUAUUUUGGAAACUGCAUUCUUAUUUAAACACAAGCUAAUUGGAUAGCUUCACUGAGUGAAGCUAUGGCAACGUGGGAUUUUUUACUGUUUCUCUGAAUCCUAAAACUAGCCAAAAUUGGGAAAAGUAUACCUUCCCUUAAAAAAUAGGUGAAAUUUUAUGACUGUGACUUCUUUUUCCCUAGAUUUUUUUAGUGGGUCAGAGUAAGAUUGAAAUGAAACCAAUAUAAAGUACAAGUAGUCUCCUGAAUCCUAAGGCUUAAAAUAUACAUUUCCAUUUAUAGAAUCAGUUUAAUAAACAUCCUUUUCAAAUGCUCAAUUCCCAUUAUAUCUUAUCAAAGGAGAAAUGGUUAAAGAAAAUGAUACAUCAGGGCUUGACUUUUUCUUUUUUUUCCCAGGAAGAAGUAUUAGGAUCAUAUGUAAGAUGCUUUAUUUAGAAUCUGAAAAUUUAUUUUAUGUUUUUCUGUUGACAACCAGAAGCACUAGGUAAGAAAAAAAUAGCAGAACAAAGACCUCCCUUGAGAUAUUUCAUGUUUUCUGACUUACUACAUCAUCAUAUAUGACACUGAAUUAUUAGUUCAGCAAAUACUGAAAUAGCAUAAGAAAGCUUUCUUGCUCUUUUAUCUUCACCAUUGUUCUUGGAUUUAAGCAAGUCACAUAAAAACUUCUGGGAAAAAACUAAAAAUAUUGAAAAAUCAUAAUUUAGAGUGGUGUUUGUUAUACAGGAUGCCUCCUUUAUCAUACUGAGGUAGAAGGCUGGGAGUGUAGUUUCCUUUAGCUCAGAGGACAAUUUGGAUAGAAAAUAUGACCCAUCAGGUCUUUGGGAAGUUUUAUCGGGAUUCUUCCUUUUUCUCUUCAUCUGCAGAAGUGACUCUGCCCAUGCAGAAAGAUGGAAAUGGGGCCCUGAUUUGUAUCAGGCUGAACUCUGCUGUUGUCAAAAAAGCCCACGCACACUACAGCACAUUUUCCAAUCACGUCACAAGUUAGCUCUUUUCAGAUUCCUUAUAAAAAUACAAAUAUUAGUGACUAUUAAAAUUCAGGCCAUCAUGUGCUGCAUUGUCUGUGUGGGGACACAAAGCAGAGGUGAGCAGCUUGCCCUGCCUCUGCCACCUGCACUUUGUGGUCCCGCUGACACAUGGAUGACCUCUCCUCACCAACCCCUGCCUGCGUGGGCUUGUUUGAUUCCUGUGGCCUUGACCUCAGCCAUAAAUUUUUAAAGUGACACUGUGUUCUUUACUGCAGGAAUGGUGAAAGGUAAAUGUCUGGGUGUAUUAUGAUUCUCAUGACAUUCUGACUGGGAAUAGAAGUACAGUAAUUCACCAAAAAAUCUAACCAUAACAACUCCAGACUCAGCUGUGUGUAGGAAGCUGUAGUUUAGUAUCAUAUAUCUUGAUGCAAUAAUAAAUAAAAUUAUAAUGCUGUGCAUUACCAUAGAUACUGAAAAAUUCUGAACUGAGAGUUGUUAUUUAUUAGUGCUGAAACUUUGAAAUCAUUAACACCAAGCUGAGGUAUGAUUGCCUUUUUUCAGAACUAAUUCUCAAAAAUAGCUGUGCUAAUUCUUGUUCUUUAGGAAAGGAUACUUGAUUUUUCUCACCAAGAAACCAUAGCCAAAAUUCUAAUUUACAAAUAUUUCAGCGAGAUUAGAUUGUUUUAUUGCAAGCUUUGACUUUCAUAUGCACUGGUGUAGUUUCUUUAAAAUGCUGUGUGUGACAGCAAGAGAAAAGAAGAAGACGAAAUGAAGCAAAUGGAUCAGUACAUUAAACAAUGUCAUAAACUGAAAGGAAAGGUUCAAGAAUGAUCAGGAAUAUAUAUGUUGCAAUUUAAAAUAAGAAUAAUUAGGAUGGAUUUAUUUUAAAUUCAUGGUACAAUUUACUGUGCUCAUCUCAGACACUCCCUUCCCUUUCUUUUCUUCCCAUACCCAUUGAAAGAUUUAAACACCUUACUUGUAAGUAAUAAGCAUUGAUUCAGCAUCCCUCAUGAAAUGAUGCAUGAUUUUACUCCAUCACAGAUAAUUUCAGAAACAUUUUGCUGCCUGCUUUUAUCUGCACUCUACUUGUGGAGAGGAUUUGAAAAGGUUUGCGUAGUUGCCUGCUCUGCAGUAAUGUGAGGAUUUUGCUAUCCCGCUGAGCUACCAUCAUUCAGGUAGCUUGGACUCCUUCCUUCUGCAGCCAAAAUCUCACAAAACCUCUCCCUGAAACACAAAGGUACAGAAGAGAAAGGGCAAAUGAUUCACCAAACCUUUUAAGAGGCUAUAUAUAUUCCUCCUAAACACAAUUAGUGCUUUUCUUAGCCCCAUCUGAUCACCUUGUUGUCUUCUGCUUGUGCAACUACUUAAACAGUUUUUAGACAGAGAUCUUCAGCUACUUCUGAUAUCAGAUCCAGUCCUGCCUCCAGCCAAAGACAUCAGACCGGUCCUACUGACUUAAACACAAAUGGGAUUAAGUAUUGUAUCUCGUUAGCCCCAGCAAAAUACUGACAUCUCAGUUGGGUUCGCACAUCUACAGACCUGGUCAGAGCACGGCAUCCCAAUUUCAGGUCAAGUUCACAACUCCCCAGCUGCAGGAUGUUCUCCUCCUUGCGUGUGCCAGCUGCGAUUGCUGACAUACCAGCUUGCAUUUGCAGGAGACACCCUCAGACUCACAGACAUACUUGCACCCUCUGAUAGUCUCAUUCAUUAUGACAGGGAAAUAGAAAACCUAGUGCAGUACAGACAACACUGACAUUCAUCUAAUACAAUUUCCCUUUUUGUUUCCUGUAUCUCAGUCUUUCCUCAAGCCUCUGUGCUAAAAACCCACCCAAUAAUUGAGGAAAUCAAUGCCAAACAGCUGGCAGAGGGAUUUGGGUGUCCAGUCCCUUAUGGAUAUCCGUGAGGCAAUCACAGUGACUCGAACCCCAGCACUGUGCUUGUUGCAGAGCCAGGACGGUCUCUCUCAGAUGCUCAUGCAUCGGGGUUCCCAUGGGGGUGUUGAGAUCCUUGCCUGGGGCUGCCAGCUGCUGGGUGCAGCUGCCCAGAGCCCUCAGCGAGACCCUGCUGGCUGCUGCCCCCUCGAAAGGACAUGGUCCCGUGGCAGAGUCCUGGCAGAGUCCCUGGCAGGGGUACCAGUGCCUCUAAGAAACAUCAAUGCCUGUAAGGGGCAUCAGUGCCUAUCAGGAGCAUCGCUGCCAGCAGGAAUGUCAGUCACCGCAAGAGUGCCACACUUCAGCUGCGGUACCAGCCUCGCAGGAGCAGCGGGCUGUACAGGGGACAGCGAUCCCUACGAUGGGAUCAGCCCCUGUUUGAGGUACCGGUCCCUAUUUGAGGUCUCGGUCCCUGGCAGGGGUGUCGGUCCCUGCGGUGUCUGUCCCUGGCAGGGGGGUGUCGGUCCCUGCGGUGUCGGUCCCAGGCACGGUGUCGGUCUGGCUGAGGACAGUCGCGAGUGAUCCAUGCAAAUUCCAGCCCGAGUGCAAUCAAUAGAUGUGACAAGCAGCCGGCGCCGGCAGCCGGGGACAUAAUGAAGGUGUGAGUGUGUAACCGGCGAACAGAUAACAAUGCUAUAGGAAAUUAUAGGGCAGCGCUGUAUUGAAUAAGUGCAGUGCAAAAUGAGCCGCGGCUCGCAGGUCAUGCUUCCCCGCUGCUGGAGAGUCUCCUGCUCUUGUCCUUUGUAAUUGUAAGUGGCAGCAGCGGCGGCUGCAGCGAGGAGGGCGCGUAUCCAGCCCUCAUUUGUUCCGCAUUACAAUGCAGCCCUCGCCGCCAGCGGCUGAUCCGGAGUGUCAGUGCCCACCUCCCAAGUGGACCAAGAAAACAGUGAAAACUCAAUUUACUUGGGAAUGAGGAAGGCUGUCGUUAAAACAGGGCUGUCCUUGGAACCACGCGGAAGAGCGGAGAGUGUCCUGUAAGAAAUGCGGUGAAACUUCUCUGUUUUCCUUUAAGAAAACCCAUGCUUUCCCCUCAAAGAAACACAAAAACAAAAAGCCUUUUCUUUCAGGAAACAAAAAACAGUACACAGAAAGUUGAAAAUCCUCUAAUUUUCUUAUUUUCAUGUUAAAAAAUACUUAUAUUAAUUUUUUUUUAAACUUGGGAAAAAGCUUUUGACCACAUAGAGUCUUAAUACAGACAGUUCUCCAGAUGCUACUAUUCCUCUUACCUGCUUAUUAAUAUUCAAGGGGAGAAGAAUGUCUAAAAAGUGUUCAUUGAUUUUUAAUUUCAUUUCCAAGUCCAAUAUGAAGUCCUUCUCUGCAUUUUGUUCUGACAUUUGGAUCAAAUCAGCAGUUGUUUUCUGAAACCUCAGGUCUUUGAGACUCUUGGCUCAGAAUCCCAUUUAAAGGUUUACAGAUUAAGUUUAACAUUUGAACCUAAUCAAAGACAAGGAGGUAACUCAAAGUGCUCUGCACAGUUCACUGGUAUUUCACCAUCACUGAUCGAUACUUUCAGCUAUUUAUGAACACUGCAUACAUCCCUUCCCCCCUCUUCAUAAUACCUGGCAAUUUUAUUUAUGUUUUUCUUCACCUUAGCCCUGAAAUGUACAUUUUUAUGGUUGAAGUAAAAGCUAUACUAAAC
rnacentral:lncRNA from 1 species